rnacentral:ncRNA from 1 species
AUGGUAUACUGAGCACAGAGAUCGUAAAAUUGAUCAGCUGAAGGAGCAUUUUACCUUGAUGUAGUAAAAGUAUUCUGGCUAGAAUAAACUCUCAGGCAAAAGGUCAUAGUGCUUACA